GGGUUGUGAGGUUAAGCGAAUAAGCGUACACGGUGGAUGCCUAGGCAGUCAGAGGCGAUGAAGGACGUGCUAAUCUGCGAAAAGCGUCGGUAAGCUGAUAUGAAGCGCCAUAACCGGCGAUGUCCGAAUGGGGAAACCCAGUGCAAUGCGUUGCACUAUCAUUAACUGAAUCCAUAGGUUAAUGAGGCGAACCGGGGGAACUGAAACAUCUCAGUACCCCGAGGAAAAGAAAUCAACCGAGAUUCCCCCAGUAGCGGCGAGCGAACGGGGAGCAGCCCAGAACCAGCAUCAGCGAUGCCAUCAGAGGAACGGUCUGGAAAGGCCGGCGAGAGAGGGUGACAGCCCCGUACUCGAAGGUGGCAUGGCUGUGAGUUCGACGAGUAAGGCGGGACACGAGAAAUCCUGUCUGAAGAGGGGGGGACCAUCCUCCAAGGCUAAAUACUCCUGACUGACCGAUAGUGAACCAGUACCGUGAGGGAAAGGCGAAAAGAACCCCGGCGAGGGGAGUGAAAGAGAACCUGAAACCGUGUACGUACAAGCAGUGGAAGCCUUGAUUCGUCAGGGUGACUGCGUACCUUUUGUAUAAUGGGUCAGCGACUUAUAUUCUGUAGCAAGGUUAACCGUAUAGGGGAGCCGCAGGGAAACCGAGUCUUAACUGGGCGAAUAAGUUGCAGGGUAUAGACCCGAAACCCGGUGAGCUAGCCAUGGGCAGGUUGAAGGUUGGGUAACACUAACUGGAGGACCGAACCGACUAAUGUUGAAAAAUUAGCGGAUGACCUGUGGCUGGGGGUGAAAGGCCAAUCAAACCGGGAGAUAGCUGGUUCUCCCCGAAAGCUAUUUAGGUAGCGCCUCGUGAAGUCAUCUUCGGGGGUAGAGCACUGUUUCGGCUAGGGGGCCAUCCCGGCUUACCAACCCGAUGCAAACUGCGAAUACCGAAGAAUGUUAUCACGGGAGACACACGGCGGGUGCUAACGUCCGUCGUGAAGAGGGAAACAACCCAGACCGCCAGCUAAGGUCCCGAAGUCAUGGUUAAGUGGGAAACGAUGUGGGAAGGCCCAGACAGCCAGGAUGUUGGCUUAGAAGCAGCCAUCAUUGAAAGAAAGCGUAAUAGCUCACUGGUCGAGUCGGCCUGCGCGGAAGAUGUAACGGGGCUAAACCAUGCGCCGAAGCUGCGGCAAUGACAUUCAGGUGUUAUUGGGUAGGGGAGCGUUCUGUAAGCCGUUGAAGGUGGCGCUGUGAGGCCCGCUGGAGGUAUCAGAAGUGCGAAUGCUGACAUAAGUAACGAUAAAGCGGGUGAAAAACCCGCUCGCCGGAAGACCAAGGGUUCCUGUCCAACGUUAAUCGGGGCAGGGUGAGUCGACCCCUAAGGCGAGGCCGAACGGCGUAGCUGAUGGGAAACAGGUUAAUAUUCCUGUACUGAAUGUGACUGCGAAGGGGGGACGGAGAAGGCUAGGCCAUCCGGGCGACGGUCGUCCCGGUUUAAGCGUGUAGGUGGGAGGAGCAGGCAAAUCCGCUCUUCUGUAACACUGAGGCGUGAUGACGAGCUGCUACGGCAGUGAAGUGGUUGAUGCCCGGCUUCCAGGAAAAGCCUCUAAGCAUCAGGUGACAUUGAAUCGUACCCCAAACCGACACAGGUGGUCAGGUAGAGAAUACUCAGGCGCUUGAGAGAACUCGGGUGAAGGAACUAGGCAAAAUGGUGCCGUAACUUCGGGAGAAGGCACGCUGGCGGCAGGUGAAGGAGUUUGCCUCCGGAGCCGAAGCCAGUCGCAGAGACCAGCUGGCUGCAACUGUUUAUUAAAAACACAGCACUGUGCAAACACGUAAGUGGACGUAUACGGUGUGACGCCUGCCCGGUGCUGGAAGGUUAAUUGAUGGGGUUAGCCGCAAGGCGAGGCUCUUGAUCGAAGCCCCAGUAAACGGCGGCCGUAACUAUAACGGUCCUAAGGUAGCGAAAUUCCUUGUCGGGUAAGUUCCGACCUGCACGAAUGGCGUAAUGAUGGCCAGGCUGUCUCCACCCGAGACUCAGUGAAAUUGAACUCGCUGUGAAGAUGCAGUGUCCCCGCGGCAAGACGGAAAGACCCCGUGAACCUUUACUAUAGCUUGACACUGAACAUGGAGCCUUGAUGUGUAGGAUAGGUGGGAGGCCUGGAAGUGCGGACGCCAGUCUGCAUGGAGCCAUCCUUGAAAUACCACCCUUGAAUGUUCGAUGUUCUCACUUAAGCCCGUUAUCCGGGCUGAGGACAGUGUCUGGCGGGUAGUUUGACUGGGGCGGUCUCCUCCCAAAGCGUAACGGAGGAGCACGAAGGUUGGCUAAUCACGGUCGGACAUCGUGAGGUUAGUGCAAAGGCAUAAGCCAGCUUAACUGCGAGAGUGACGGCUCGAGCAGGUACGAAAGUAGGUCUUAGUGAUCCGGUGGUUCUGAAUGGAAGGGCCAUCGCUCAACGGAUAAAAGGUACUCCGGGGAUAACAGGCUGAUACCGCCCAAGAGUUCAUAUCGACGGCGGUGUUUGGCACCUCGAUGUCGGCUCAUCACAUCCUGGGGCUGAAGUAGGUCCCAAGGGUAUGGCUGUUCGCCAUUUAAAGUGGUACGCGAGCUGGGUUUAGAACGUCGUGAGACAGUUCGGUCCCUAUCUGCCGUGGGCGCAGGAAGAUUGAAAGGGGCUGCUCCUAGUACGAGAGGACCGGAGUGGACGCACCGCUGGUGUACGGGUUGUCAUGCCAAUGGCAUCGCCCGGUAGCUAAGUGCGGGAGAGAUAACCGCUGAAAGCAUCUAAGCGGGAAACUUGCCUUGAGAUGAGUCUUCCCUUGACUUUAGUCACGGAAGGAACGUUUAAGACGAAGACGUGGAUAGGCUGGGUGUGUAAGCGCAGCGAUGCGUUGAGCUGACCAGUACUAAUGAACCGAGCGGCUUAACCUUACAACGCCGAAGGGGUUUUG
rnacentral:rRNA from 1 species